rnacentral:rRNA from 1 species
CUGACCUGCCCAGUGAUUAAUUUAACGGCCGCGGUAUAUUGACCGUGCAAAGGUAGCAUAAUCAUUAGUCUUUUAAUAGAGGGCUGGAAUGAAAGGUUUGACGAGGAACUGACUGUCUCAUUUUAUUUGUUUUAAAAUUUAAUUUUUUAGUUAAAAAGCUAAAAUUUUAUUGGAAGACGAGAAGACCCUAUAGAUCUUCAUAAAAUUAUGAUUAAUUAUUAUUAUAUUAAUAUAAUUAUUUAUUUUUUUAUUUUGUUGGGGUGACAAAAAUAUAUGAUUAACUUUUUUAUUUAUUUAACAUUAAUUUAUGAAUACAUGAUCCAUUAUUAGUGAUUAUUAGAUUAAGUUACCUUAGGGAUAACAGCGUAAUCCUCCUCCAGAGUUCAUAUUUACAGGACGGGCUUGCGACCUCGAUGUUGGAUUAAGAUAAUAAUCAGGUGUAGCCGCUUGAUUUAUAGGUCUGUUCGACCUUUAA